GUUAGGAGUAGGGUUAUUGUAGGGUUAGGGGUAAGUUUAGGGUUAGGGUAGGAUUAGGGGUAGGGGUAGAGUUAGGAAUAGGGUUAGGGUUACCAUACCAGUACGCCAACAACUAUCCCUAACCCUACCCCAACCACUAACCCUACCCGCAACCCUUAACCCUACCUCUAAUUCUACCCCUAAACCUAACCCUACCUCUACCCCAACCCCUAACCCUACCCAAAGCCUACCCCAGCCCCUAACCCUACCAUAACCCUACCCUUAAC